UUGGACUAUUCUUUCAGAAAGUAAUUUAUGUUUGUAUUGAUCACUUUUAAAAUGAAGCAAUAGAAAUAAAAAUGCCUUACAUAUUUUGUAAGUACAAAGGAAUAUUACUUCAGAAAAUCUGGAUGCUUCUUUGUUUUGGAAGACAGAUACCAAGGCUUUUUAGUCAAAAAGAUUGAGUUUAAAUUUGUAAAUUGCAGCAUUGGCAAAGUCAAAUUCUUUUGACUAGCCUGUUUCAUCUGUAGAGUCUAACAGACAUAACUGGUCUACCUGAGAGAAAAAUGAUAUGGAGAAUAACUAAUUCAGCCAAGACCGCCUAAUUUCUAAAAGGCUAUGAGGAACAACACCCUCCUGGCAGCUGGUCAUCUGCACAGGAUGCUGAGCUGUAGCAGGUCUGGGACUCUGGAAGGAGCUGAUAUAGCCUAGGUCUCCAAUCCAGCCCAACAAGGCAACACCAUCUUCCAUCGCCUUCUCAUUCAACUGAGACUGUCGCAUUACCUACACCCUGUUCUGAAGAUAGUACAACUGUCUUCUCUCGGAGAAGGAAAAAUGUAUAAGCCCCGCUCAUAUCCUUCCAGUCUCACCCGGACACUCACUGAGCCU